AAACUGAAGAGUUUGAUCAUGGCUCAGAUUGAACGCUGGCGGCAGGCUUAACACAUGCAAGUCGAGCGGAAACGAUGGUAGCUUGCUACCAGGCGUCGAGCGGCGGACGGGUGAGUAAUGCUUAGGAAUCUGCCCAGUAGUGGGGGAUAGCCCGGGGAAACUCGGAUUAAUACCGCAUA
rnacentral:ncRNA from 1 species